CAAUCUUGUCUCCCUCAUCUCUUUCUUUAUUUCUCUUAAUUUGCAAAUUAAAUGAUUGGAUUGGUUAUGUUGUGAUGAUAAUUGUUUUAUUAAACAAUUAAUUAUUACUUAAGCUUAUAAACUAAUGAUUUAUGCAAUCCUCUAUAUAUAUAUAUAUACAUAUAUAUAUAUAUAUAUAUAUGCAGAAAACAUGGAUCGAUAACAAGACGGGGUAUAAAUGCUUCAUGCUGUAUCCCAGGUCACUUUUUGUUACUUGGGGCAACCGCGAUCACUGGACUUGGAAUUGCUUCAAAGAAACGAGGUAGGUCAGAUCAGCACUGAAUCCAAUCCAAAUCUCGUUAUCGAUUAUGUAUAAAGACAUUUUAUUUAAAAUAAAUACAUGAAUAAAUUAACAAACGUACAUAUAUAUAUAUAUAUAUAUAUAUAUAUAUAUAUAUAUAUAUAUAUG
rnacentral:lncRNA from 1 species